UGGGGAAGAUUGCACAAGGGGCGGAAGCCUGAUGCAGCGACGAAGCGUGGGGGAUGAAGGGCGUCGGGGUGUAAAAGCCGUUCGACAGGGACGAAGCUGGGGUGACGGGAACGGUAUAAGAAGCAAAGGCUAACGACGGGCCAGCAGCUGAGGUAAUACGUAGGGUGCGAGCGUUGUCCGGAAUUACUGGGCGUAAAGAGCUCGUAGGUGGUGCUUCGCGUCGUCUGUGAAAUUCCGGGGCUUAACUCCGGGCGUGCAGGCGAUACGGGCUGACUUGAGUGCUGUAGGGGAGACUGGAAUUCCUGGUGUAGCGGUGAAAUGCGCAGAUAUCAGGAGGAACACCGAUGGCGAAGGCAGGUCUCUGGGCAGUAACUGACGCUGAGGAGCGAAAGCAUGGGUAGCGAACAGG
rnacentral:rRNA from 1 species